rnacentral:misc_RNA from 1 species
GUGAAUCAUCAAAUUUUUGAACGCAAAUUGCACUCUCUUCGGAGAGUAUGCCUGUUUGAGGGUCAGCCUAAAAAAAAAAAUCGACAUAGUCGCUGUUUCGCGGUGACAUUCUUCGGAAAUUGUGUUAUUUUAAACAUUUAGGUUUUAAAUGGGUUAAAAUUUUUUUUAAGAUUCGACGAACGUUUGUAAGAUUUACUUUUUACACGUUUAAGGAAAUCACUC